rnacentral:rRNA from 2 species
AUUGAACGCUGGCGGCAUGCCUUACACAUGCAAGUCGAACGGUAACAGGUCUUCGGACGCUGACGAGUGGCGAACGGGUGAGUAAUACAUCGGAACGUGCCCAGUCGUGGGGGAUAACUACUCGAAAGAGUAGCUAAUACCGCAUACGAUCUGAGGAUGAAAGCGGGGGACCUUCGGGCCUCGCGCGAUUGGAGCGGCCGAUGGCAGAUUAGGUAGUUGGUGGGAUAAAAGCUUACCAAGCCGACGAUCUGUAGCUGGUCUGAGAGGACGACCAGCCACACUGGGACUGAGACACGGCCCAGACUCCUACGGGAGGCAGCAGUGGGGAAUUUUGGACAAUGGGCGAAAGCCUGAUCCAGCAAUGCCGCGUGCAGGAUGAAGGCCUUCGGGUUGUAAACUGCUUUUGUACGGAACGAAAAAGCUCCUUCUAAUACAGGGGGCCCAUGACGGUACCGUAAGAAUAAGCACCGGCUAACUACGUG